rnacentral:rRNA from 1 species
CCUACGGGUGGCAGCAGUGGGGAAUAUUGGACAAUGGGCGAAAGCCUGAUCCAGCCAUGCCGCGUGUGUGAAGAAGGCCUUCGGGUUGUAAAGCACUUUCAGUGGGGAAGAAAGCCUUGGGGCUAAUACCCUCGAGGAAGGACAUCACCCACAGAAGAAGCACCGGCUAACUCCGUGCCAGCAGCCGCGGUAAUACGGAGGGUGCGAGCGUUAAUCGGAAUUACUGGGCGUAAAGCGCGCGUAGGCGGUCUGAUAAGCCGGUUGUGAAAGCCCCGGGCUCAACCUGGGAACGGCAUCCGGAACUGUCAGGCUAGAGUGCAGGAGAGGAAGGUAGAAUUCCCGGUGUAGCGGUGAAAUGCGUAGAGAUCGGGAGGAAUACCAGUGGCGAAGGCGGCCUUCUGGACUGACACUGACGCUGAGGUGCGAAAGCGUGGGUAGCGAACAGGAUUAGAUACCCGAGUAGUC